CCCGGCAAGGAUUUUACACAGAGACAAGUCUUUAAAGGCUCUCCAGGCCUCAGCGAUACCAUGUUGUAAAUAAUCCUCUUCCUGGUGCUAAGCUUUUAAUGAAGCAGUGAAGAAAAUAAGAUGCAAAUCCCAAUCAGAUGAGGCCUUGUUGCAUAGUGUAUCAGAAAACAGCUGAGAACUCAAACAGCAGCUGCUUUUUCUUUUUCAGGAAACUUUCUAUAAUAAUACCAAUAAAACCCAAGACUAUUAUUCUGAACAGAAACAAGAAAUACAGCUGGAGCCAUUUCCUAUCCACCUGAUGAAGGGCACUACCAGGCACUCACUCUGGCUCUGUCCACCGAUGCCUGUGCCCACUUUGUGUGACGUAGCUUCCAUGGAGACAAGAGCAAUGGUAAUGGAAGAAGAAAGUCUGGAUGUACUCGUGCAGAAAGAGAAAGCUUCAUGGAACAAUAUUAAUCUUCUGGUCAUCUCUGCGCCCAUAAAGUUGUCAGAUUGACUUUGGAUUUAAAGCCUGAAAAUGAGUCCCAAGGAAGUCCAUUGACAUGAGGCCCAAGGAAGACAGUUUUUGGAAGGGGCAAGACAGGAAGGAUGGUUUGGUCACUGUGAGGAAGAGGAGGGUAGAAAAGCCUCAGGACAUCAGAAUCUUUAGGAAGUGGCUACUGACAAUCAAGCAGAGUUUUCUCCCUGUGGGUCUCUAUCCAUUUAGUGGCUUUUUGUGCUAAGCAGCUCAGUGACUGCCUUCUGCUCCAGAUGUGACCUUCAGUCUCUGUUGCUCCUUUCUGCUGGCAAUGCUCAGUGUAAUUUCAGCCACAAAGGAAAGGAGGUGAAGUGAACAUCAGUGGGAGCCUAAAAAGUUAAACAACGGAUGUGUUUUCCCAGUGUAGAGAAAAGCUUGCUUCUCCAUCCCCAGGACUUUGUGCCCUGCUCACCUGGAAGAGAGAAGAGGGUUAGCCCCUUGACAAUGGAAAGGAAUAAGGGAGAAAAAACAGAUGAAGGAGAGUAUGAAGAAGUAGAGUGGCACUUUAUAUACCCCAUCUCCAAGCGUCACAGACAGCUUGCAAGGAGGAAAACGGACACAUUAGAAGACCAUGUUGAAAGUCUGCCAAUGUUACCGUCUGCUUGCUGAUAAUGAUUUUUCUUCUUCCCUGCCUGGAGGGAAGGUUGAAUUCCUGUGCAACACGGAUUGCUGGCAGUGAUGCAUUCCAGAGGGUACCACCUAAAGUUUUGAGGCAUGUAGCCUUGCCCACAAAGACAGGGACUUGGAGAGGAAAGAUGCAUAACCAGUGAAAACAAAGGUAGUAGUGCUCAGCUGUAAUCUUUUAGAAGUGACAGUAUUAUAUUUAUAUUAGAAUUUUAAUUGAAGAAAACCAAUGGAAACUAUAAAUUAUAAUACAAU
rnacentral:lncRNA from 1 species